rnacentral:sRNA from 1 species
AUCGCUCGCGGUCGCAGUCGCAGUCGCCCACACCCUUGCCGCACCAUGGCUGGAACCCGCGGCGGAUUCGAGAAUCAUUAGAUGAUUACUUGUGGCUUUCUUGCAAGUUGUGCAGUUGCUGCCUCAAGCUUGCUGCCUCCCUCUGCCAAAUCUAUCAGCAAAAAAAGAAAAUCAUGUCAGUUUCCUUGAACUAUAUACAUAUGAUUAAUCUAGAAACGCAGUAUGUUGCCAAAAAUCACACACAACUCAAUCACAUAUGCAUUUGAGAUGAGGUAAAAUGCUAUCUGAUUCACAUAGUUCCAAUAUCUCAAGAUGUGGGAUAUGCGUAGCACAAGUGCAUCAGAGUGUUAUAGUUGUUCAGUCUUCAGUACUUAUUAUUCUAGAUUAAUUUGGACCAACUUGUCAAUUCAGCUGACACUUGUUUUUGUCUAGUGCUCCAGUAGCUUGGUUGUUUCAUCAUCAUUAGACUUUUAAACCUUUGGUCCUAAACUCCUAGCUGAAAAAUUUGCACACUGAACUUCCCUGUGUUCUAAGGAAAAAAAAAAUCUAGACAUAACCUUGCUGAUCUGUAUUAUGGACUGGCCAUUGGAGUGCAUAAUGCAUAACUGCUGAUCACUUUGUUGGCACAAAACUUACGCAUAGACAUAGGAGGUACUUAUGUAUAAUUGUAUCUUUAAUCAGGACUUUGUUUUCAACCAUUUUGUUGAUAUAACAGUUAUACUGUAGUAAUGAUGAGUACAGUCUCCAAUGUAAACUCAGGGCAAAUCAGAUUUAUCCCUUUUUGGUGCUUGGUAUCUUUUUGUAUUUUUCAUGAGCGAUGGCAUUUUUGAACCCAAAAUAGAGGGAAAGAGAAGGAUCUCUGUGGGGGCAUGCUAUGUACUACAGUUCUUUGAGACCAUGUAGGUGUGGAUGCUUGUUUUGACCUUUUCCUUAACAUAUAGAAAGAAUAAACAUUAAAUAAAUGAUGACAUGGAAAUGAAAUUCAUAAAGGAGUACAUAAGCUAGUACUCCUGAAAAUAUCACUUCAUAUUCCCCCAUGAUUCAGUAACAUGAAUAUCAUACCAUCAGCAGCAGUGAAAUUUUUAUGCGUAGACGGUUUGUUUCUUAAGGUAUAUAUUUUUUAUGUUUACAAUUGUCUGUCGAGUUUACUGGUCAAUUGAGCAACAACGGUACUUUUAACUGUUAAUAUCACUUGGUUUGCUAUGUAUCCUUGUUGUUCUGGCUUUGUUGCUUUACAGCCAUUCUGCUUACGCUAUUGGCAUCUGUUAUUUAGAAAACCAUUUUCUAACAGUUUUUAGAUUUCCUUUCGAGUCUCCAACUGUUUUUAACCUCCAAGUUGCCACAUAAUGCAUAAAUAUACCGAGUAAGUUUGCCCCCCUCUGAAAUAUGGAUGUUAGAUACUCAGACAGGUUCAGUAUGUGUUGGGUGUUGUUUUCUGAGUUUGUGGUUGUCAUAAGAUGCAGCGAAAUUACUGCGCUGUAUCUUGGACCAAUGCAAUCAGCGAAGUCCUUAUCGUGCCAAAAGGAUGUGCAUGGAUUUUCCAUCAUUUGCAAACUUGAGGAUGGCCUGCCCUGAUGCCCUCAGAUGCUGAUGAAGUGUGUGGUUCAUGAAAACGUGAGAAGCUAAGUAGUGGAGUAACGGGAGUGAGUACCAGUGUGGCCACUAUGAAGAAAGUUAAUUACUGAGAAAUUAAGACUUGAGCAUGUUAUUUUCAAGCAACUUGUACAGCAUUAUAUUGCACUACCAUCAAAUGCUUCUCCUGCCUAUACAAUACUCUGCAAGCUCUUGUAUUGUACACUGUUUUAUCUUGUUUAAAGUAUGCUUGUUUUUGCUUAUGUUGAGAUU